CCCAAAUAUUGAGACUUUGCAUAGUAAAUCUUUGAUAAGCAUUGCCCUAAAUAUAUAUAUUUCGUUUUAAAAUUGAAUCUCUCUCCAACCUACUUGGGCAUGGAGUCCUUUCUGCACAUAGCUCGUUUAAUGUCCAUCGUAAGUGACUUUCCACAUAAAAUGCUCCACCAGCACUUGUUCAGGGAUAGACUCCCCUGGUGGAGGAAGAAACUGGGUGUGGUGAACGAUGCGAGGCUGGAUCCUCUGCAGCUGGGAGCCGUGGGAGCCUCAGGGCCACUGCAGGGACUGCAGGAACGCGAUGCAUUCUCUGGAGGUGAAGCCAUUUUUUGCAAAAGAAUUAUGACAAAUCUACUUUCCGUUAAACAACUGAACUGUGUAAUUGUUACAGAUUAUAAUUUUUUUCUAACAGGACAGGGCAUAGCUAGAAAUUAAGCAGACUCUAUGAACAACCAAACCUAAUGAAUCCUGCAAAGAUUGAGCCGUAAGUAGCAACGUCUGGAGGUGCAGCAGAUUGGGUGUCAGUGAGUGAACUGUGUCGGAUAUUAAUUAUGUAAUCAUGGGUGGAAUGCAGUGCAGAGAAGUUACCAGGCCUCCAUGUCAAACGUGGCUGUCACUCCUGAGUUGUGAGCAUGGCACCUGCCGGGCUGUGAUGGAGUCAGGGUGGGUUGAAGGUGGCAGCAAUUAGAACCCUGAGGUCGCCGCUCGGGAAAUGCCGGUGCCUGAUCCAAGUCAUCCGGGAGGGAGGUGGCAUGAAUGUCAAUCCUGCUAAUGGACCCAGGGCAGCUCCCACACCAAGUGUCACUGAUGACGGAAGUGAUUCCUCCUCUUGUCUGCAUGAAGAUGCAAAGAGAAAGGGCAACUUUGGGAUGCACCAAUCAUUGUGGCUCUGACUCUGUGAGCAUAUACGUGCGGGUGCUCUAGGCCAGGCACAGGGCAGGGGCCUGGAGGUGCAGAGAUGCGUAAGGCAGGUGUUGAUCCCAGAGUUUCUAGUCUGGGGAGGCAGGUAUGUGAUAACAGCCCCCAGAACAGGCAGUGGUUUGUAGCAGCUAUGUGGUGGAGUAUAGCAGGCUCUGAAUCAAUGUCGCAAAGUUAGUGGCUGUCCUGUGGUGGGCUGUGCUGAUUGAGAUUUGGCAACAGCUCUAGCUCUUGACCUUCUUUGAGUUGUUUACCCCAGGCUGAGUUCAGCAAACCUUUGUGGGACGUUCAUCAUUUGUUCUUCGGUGUGCCAGGCACUGAAGAUAAACAGAUGGGUGUGGGUUUUGAUGCAGCCUCUCCUAAGAGAGCACAGUCCUCAAAGAGAGCCCUGUGUUUCCUAAGGCGACAGGCGAGUUAGGUAGGUUCUACCUUAGAGAUGGGCACAGAUGUAUGAGAGCUUGGCAGGGCACCAGGCCCCCUGGCCCAUUCAGGAAAAACUUCCUGGGGCCAGGGAGGGUGCAGAGUGUGAAGCCUGGGAGAGUGCAGGGUGUGGAAGCCUGGAAGGGUACAGGUGUGACACCUGAGAUGGUGCCAGGUAUGAAGCCUGGGAGAGUGCAGGGGGUAAAGUCUGGGAGGGUGCAGGGUAUGAAGCCUGGGGAGGUGCUGGGUGUGAAGGCUGGGAGAGUGCAUGUGUGACACAUGGGAGGGUGUCGGGUGUGAGGCCUGGGGUACUGCAGGGUGUGAAGGUUGGGGAGGGUGCAGGGUGUGAAGCCUGGGAGGGUGUAGGGUGUGAAGCCUGGGAGGGUGUAGGACAUGAAUCCUGGGAGAGUGUAGAGUGUGAAGCCUGGGAGGGUGCAGGGUGUGAAUCCUGGGGAGGUGUUGGGUGUGAACUCUGGGAAGGUACAGGGUGUGAAGCCUGGGAGGGUGUAGAGUGUGAAUCCUGUGAGGUUGCAGGGAGUGAAACCUGGGAGCGUGUAGGGUGUGAAUCCUGGGAGGGUGUAGAGUGUGAAGCCUGUGAGGGUGUCAGGUGUGAACUCUAGGAGGAUGCAGGGUGUGAAGCCUGAGGAGGUGGUGGGUGUGAACUCUGGGAAGGUGCAGGGUGUGAAGCUGGGGAGGUGUAGCGUGUGAAUCCUGCGAGGGUGCAGGGUGUGAAACCUGGGAGGGUGUAGGGCAUGAAUCCUGGGAAUAGAGUGUGAAGCCUUGGAGGGUGCAGGGUGUGAACUCUGGGAGAGUGUGGGGUGUGAAGCUCGGAAGGGUACAGGGUGUUAAGUCUCUGAGAGUGCAGGGUGUGAAGCCUGGGGAGGUGUUGGGUGUGAACUCUGGGAAGAUGCAGGGUGUGAAGCCUGGGAGGGUGAAGGGUGUGAAGCCUGGGAGGGUGAAGAGUGUGAAUCCUGCAAGGUUGCAGGGUGUGAACUCUGGGAGGGUACGGGGUGUGAAGUUCGGGAAGGUGCAGGGCGUGAAACCUGGGAGGGUGCAGGGUGUGAAGGUAGGGGAGGAUUCAGGGUGUGAAUUCUGGGAGGAUGCAGGGUGUGAAGCCUGGGGAAGUGCAGGGUGUGAAGUCUUGGAGGGUGCAGAGUGUGAUGCCUGAGAAGGUGCAGUGUGUGAAAGUCGGGGAUGAGCCAGUGUGGGAAGGGAGUCAGGGGUGGUGAGCAAGGGAGAGGAGCUUGUGCAAGCAGGAGGCAGGGGUCCUGAAGCUCCUGGUGACCAGGGAAUGAGCACCAGGGUGGGCAUGGCAGGAAUGGAGGCUCAAGUGGAGGGAAAGCAGUCCACUCCAGGGUUCUUCUGUGAUCCAAGGAAGGAAAUUUAUGGUUCACCCAAUGCAUGAUGUGAAUGGAGCUGGUGCUUUGUCAACAAGAGAUCUGGAGAGACAAUGGUGUCAGCAGCCCACCCUGGCUGCUGUGUGCAGAGUGGACCUAAGCAGGUGGGACUCGGUGUGGAAGAUCAUGUGGCUCUCGAGGCAGUCUGCCUGGGUGUGAUGGGCUUCUAAACCAGGCCAUUGGUGGUCGGCUUAGGAAGACAAAGGAGGCAAGACAUACAUGGGGGUUAAAAUCAGCUGGACGUGGGACUUAAGGAACAUGUGAGGGAUGGAGGGGACAAGAGGAUGUGAAGGGAGGACACAGAGCUUGUGCUGGCUCCAGGCUUGGGCUCAGGCAACUGGAAGGUAACAAGAGAAGCCGAUUUGGAGGAAGGUAAUGAGUUUGGUUUUGGAUGUAAAUUUAAAGUCCUGCAGGACACCCAGCUGACUAACAAGGAAUGAACAGGCUGCUUUAAAUGUUAGGGCAGUUUGGGGCUGAUCUCUAGGUCUGGAAGCCAUAAGCCAGAAGGAAAGUUUAAACUACAAGCACUUAUAGGACCAGUGCUCUUAGGGUGAGAAAUGCAGUGUUCCAGGAUAAAGUAAGGAGGCCGUGGAAGAGAAGAACCCAUGACCAGGACUAAGACAUGGAGGCCAGAGGGGUGAGGUGGGCAGGGAGGGGUUGCACCAUGGAGCCCACAGAGCACAGAGCUUGUGGCAGAGAGCACAGAGAGAGUUGUAGCAAUCGUGUUUAACUCUGUUUCUUAAAAAUAUUAAGAAUGUCCUCUAGCUUAUAAUGUACUAUUAACAACCAUGAUUGUAACACAGGAAAGCACAUAUUGGCAUUCCACAAAUAAAAAUAAACAAAAUCUGUCUUAUUUUCUCUUUUAUUCCCAAUGUCUGACUCCUGUGAGGUGAUGCAAGGUGAUCAACCAGUAUGUGUUGAAUGAAGAUGUCAUCAAGCAAACGACAAAAUCAAGCACUGAAGUAACCGCCAAGUCUGGAGAGUUUGUAUCCUGUGUAUUUUAGGGUUCAUGCCUUCCCACCCCAAGCUGUAGCCUCAGCAUCCCCUCAUAGAUGCUGUUGCACCAGCCACACCACCUCACCCCACAGUGCUCCCAGCAGCGUCCCUCACGUCCCCGUGACACAUUGCUCACAGUUCCUCUGAAGCAUACAUCUAAAUGGCAGAGGCAAGGUGCUUGUCAUUGUGCCAUUUUUCAAACUCCUGUAAGUUCUCACUAAAACAGAGCAACUUGCAUAGCAAAACUAGAAACCCUCAGACGGCAUCUUCAACAAAAGUAGUAACAAGGUACCCAUAUGGACCCCAACAUGAUAACCAAGCAUGCUGAGCCAUGGGCCGGCCCUUCCCCACCCAUCUGGUGUUGGGAGGUGGUGGCCAGGAAACAGAGGCCACAUGGGGACUCACGAAGGACAGUGGCCCACACUGGCCCGGGUGCCACGCCAGGCACAUGAGGGCAUCCAGUGGUGGGUGCCUGGCCUCGUCAGCUCCGGCAGCGACCCAGCACCACCAAGCGACCUGGGAGCUGAGUCUCCUACCAGAUGGGAAGACCCUGGGACAGAGAAGGAAGGUCCAGAUCAAACCGGAGAAGAAUCAAAGCAGGUGUUUGCACCUCUUUUGUACCUGAUCCAAACAAACCAAUUGUGACACAGGUCGAGGAAGUUUCCUUCUGUUAUGGACUGAAUUAUGUCAUCUCUUAAGAUUCAUAUGUUGAAGUCCUAAUAUCCAGUACUUUAGAAUGUGACUAUAUUUGGUGAUAGGCUCUUUUAAAAGGUAAUUAAGUUAAAGAGAGUUCACUAUGGUGGGCCCUAAUCCAAUAUAAGAGUAAAUUUGGACACAGACAUGUACAGAAGGAAGCCCGUGUGAGGACAGAGGAAGAAGAUGGCCCAGUCUGUGGUACUGUUAGAGCAUCCCUAGAAAAUGAGUGCAUCCUCUAUUCCUAGUUUGGUCAAAUGAUGUUUUUGCAUCUGUUGAUAUGAUCAAAUGAUUUUUCCUCUUUAGCCUGUUGAUGUGAUGUAUUACAUUCAUUAAUUUUUGAAUGUUGAAUCAGCCUUGCAUACCUGAAACAAAUCCCACUUGGUCAUGAUAUAUAAUUUUGUAUACAUUGUUAGACUAAAUAUGCUAAUAUUUUGUUGGGAAUUUUUUGCAUCUGUGUUCAUGAGAGAUAUGAGUUAGUUUUCCUUUCUUGUAAUGACUGUAUCUGGUUUAGAUACUAGAGUAAUGCUUGACUCAUAUAAUGGGUUAUGAAAUGUUCUCUCUGCUUCAAUAUUGUAGAGAAUUGGUAUUUCUUCCUCAAAUAUUUGGUAGAACUCACAAGUGAACCCAUCUGGACCUAGUGUUUUCUGUUUUGAAAGAUUAUUAAUUAUUGAUUCAAUUUAUUUAGUAGACCUAUUUAGAUUGCCUAUUUCUUCUGGUGUGAGUUUGGCAGAUUGUGCCAUUUAAGUAGUUGAACCAUUUCAUCUAGGUUAUCAAAUUUGUGGCAUAAAGUUGCUUGUAAUAGUCCUCUGUUACCCUUAUAAUGUCCAUGGGAUCAGCAGUGAUAGCUUCGCCUUCAUUUCUGAUAUUAGUAAUUUGUAUCCUCUCUCUCUCUCUCUAAGUUAGCCUGACUAUAGCUUUACCAAUUGUAUUAGCUUUUCAAAGAACUAGCAUUUGGUUUUGUUGAUUUUGUCUAUUAUUCUGUUUUCAGUUUCUUUUAUAGGAAGUUCUCAUUUUAUGUCAUUGGUUAGUUCUCAGAAACUGCAACUUUCAGCAAAGUCACGUACCUCGCAUCCUGGACUGAUACCAUUUCAUUCAACAUCAUUUUGUUACAAAGUUGAUGAGGAAAAAAAAAGUGUUUUCAUCAUAUGUUGUUUCACUUGAAGUCGCAAUGGUAUUUGUGAGGACUUAUGUAUUUCUGCUCUAAUUUUUAUUAUGCCUGUUUCGUCUGCUUACUUUAGAUUUAGUUUGCUUUUUUCUAAUUUCAUAAGGUGAAAGCUUAGAUUAUUGAGUUUAGAUCUUUAUUUUUUAAAUAUGUAUGUUCAAUGGUAUAAAUUUUCCUCUACACACUGUUUACACUGCAUUCCACUCAUUUUGAUAAAUUGUAUUCUCAUUUUCAUCUAUUUCAAAAUAUUUUUAAAUUUCUUUUGUGACUUCUUUGCCUCAUAUGCUAUUUAGAAGUGCAUUUUUAAAUUUCAAUAUUUGGGGGAUGUUACAGCUAUCUAGCUGUUAUUGAUUUUGUUUUGUUUAAUUUUACUGUAGUCUGAAAGCACACUUAUAUAAUUUCUAUUUUUUUUUUAAUUUGUGAAGAUAUGUCUUAUGGCCCAGAAUGUGGUCUAUCUCAGUGAACCUUCCACGUGAACCUGAAAAGAACUUGUACUCUGCUGUUGUUGGAUGAAAUAUUCUAUAAAUAUCAAUUUCAUUCUAUCAAUAUCAAUUGAUGGAGCUGUUUCAGUUCAACUAUCUCCUUUCUGAUUUUCUGCCUGUUGGAUCUGUCCAUUUCUAAUAGAAGGGUGUUGAAGUCUCCAACUAUGAUAAUGGAUUUACUUAUUUCUCCUUGCAGUUCUGCAAGUUUUUCCCUCGUGUAUUUUGAUGCUCUGUCUUUAGGUGCAUACACAUUAAAGAUUGUUAUGUCUUCUUGGAGAAUUGCCUCUUUAUCAUUAUACAAUGCCUCUCUUCAACUCUGAUAGUGUUCCUUGCUCUGUGGUCUACUUUAGUUGGAAUUAAAGUAGUUACUCCAGCUUUCUUUUGAUUAGUGUUGGCAUGAUAUAUCUUUCUCCACGCCUUUACUUUUAAUCUAUCUUUGUUAUAUUUAAAGUAAGUUUCUUGUAUUGAAUGUAUAGUUCAGUCAGUAUCUUUUAAUUGGUAUAUUUAAACCAUUCACAUUUAAGGUGGUUAUUGAUAAAGUUUGAUUAGUAUCUACUGUAUUUGAAACAGUUUGUUACACUGUUCUUUGUUGUUUUUCAUCUUCUCUGUUUUGAGUAUUUUAUGAUUUCACUUUUCCAUUAAUUAUACUUCUUUUUAAAUUUUUUUCAGAGAUUGCCCUAAAGUUUACAGUGUACACUUACAACUAAUAUAACCCUGCUUUCAAAUAACUCUAUGCUACCUGAUGAGUAGUGUAGGUGCCUUAUAACAGAGCACUCCUGAUUCUUCCCCUCUUGGUUUAUUAUUUUGCUGAUACUCAAUUCACUGUCUAUAAGUUAUAAUCAAUAUAUUAUUAAUAUUAUUUUGACAAAACUGUUAUCAGUUAAUUAAGAAUUUUUACAAAACAAAUGAUUUAUUUUUACCUGUAUUUAUUCCCUCCUUAAGACUCCUCCUUUCUUAUUAUAUCUGAGUUUCUGGCCUAUAUCAUUUACCUCCUCUCUGAAGAACUUCUUUUAACAUUUCUUACAAAGUAGGUCAACUGGAGACAAAUUCCCUCAAUUUCUGUUUGUCUGAGAAGCUCUUUCUACUUCACUUUUGAAGGAUAAUUUCACUGCACACAGAAUUGAGGUUGGUAUGUUUUUCUUUCAGCUCUUUAAAUAUAUUAUCCACACUCUUCUUGCUUGCAUUUAGAAACUAUGUUUCUAAAGAGAAGUCUGAUAUAGUGUUUAUCCUGGCUUCUCUGUAGGCUUCUUAGAUUGGUGGUUUGAUGUCUACCAUUAAUUCUGGAAAAUUCUUAGCCAAUAUUACUUCAAAUAUUUCUCCUGUUUCUGUUUUUCCCCUGCUGAUAUCCCCAGUUUGCACAUGUAACACUGAUAUGAUUUGGCUGUGUCCCCACUCAAAUCUCAUCUUGAAUUUUAGUUCCCAUAAUCUCCACAUGUCAUGGGAGAAACCCAAUGGGAAGUAGUAGAAUCAUGGGGGCAGUUACCCCCAUGCUGCUGUUCUCAUGAUAGCAAUUGAGUUCUCAUGAGAUCUGAUGGUUUUAUAAGGUGCUUUCCCCCCAUUCACUCUGCACUUCUCCUUGCUGUCACCAUGUGAAGAAGGAUGUUUGCUUCUCCUUCCACCAUGAUUGUAAGUUUUCUGAGGCCUCCCCAGCCCUGCGGAACUGUGAGUCAAUUAAACUUGCUUUCCUUUAUAAACUGCCCAAUCCUGGGUAUAUCCUUAUAGCAGCAUGAUAAUGGACUAAACCACACACCUUUCGUAAUUGUCCCAUAAUUAUUUGAUUUUUUUUUCAUGUUUUUUUCUUUUUGCUUUUCAUUUUAGGAAGGUUCUAGCGACAUAUCUUCAAAGUCACUGAUUCUUUCCUCAACUGAGUCUAGUCUACUGAUGAGCCCAUAAAGACAUUCUUCAUUUCUGUUACAAAGUAUUUGAUUUCUAGUAAUCCCUUUUGCUUCUUUCUUAGAGCUUCCAUCGCUGCUUACAUUACCCAACUGUUGUUGCAUGCUGUCUACUUUAUCCAUUAGAAUCGUUCAAAUAUUUAUCAUAGAUGUUUUAAAUUCCAAGUCUGAUAAUUCCCAAAUCUCUGCCAUAUCUGAGUCUGGUUCUGGUGGUUAGUUUUUCUCUUGAAACUGUGAUUUUUGCCUUUUAGCAUGCCUUGUAUUUUUUUUCUUAAAAGUGGACAUGAUGCAUCACAUAAAUAAACCUGACAUAAAUAGUUUCUUACCUUCAGUGUGAAGUUUUAUGUUUAUCUGUCGAGGAGUUGGGCUGUGUUGACUCUAAUAUAGCUGCAAUUUCAGAGGCUAAAUUUUUCUUUAGUGUCCUUGUUUUUGCCUUUGCUGUUGUCUGUAGGUUUCCCUAAAGCCUCCUACUUAGAUAACAUCUGAGGCACACAGUUCUUUUCAAUGUAAUCUCCUGUUAUUACACAGAAGCCUAGUUGAUAUCAUCAUAAGGUAUCAGGAAGAGAAGCCUUCCGUGACCCUAAGAUGAGGUCUCAGUCUUUUAGUGAGUCCAUGUUCCUGGACUGUGACCUUCACAAGUGCUUCUUAGCCUUUCUUUUUUCCUUUUUUCACUACUUAGGUGUGACAGAACGGCUGUUGCCAGAGAGGGCUGGAGUUUUCAAUGGGCUCAGAUAGUUCUUUGAGUUCUGAAAGCAGCCUUCUCAUCAUUAAAAUGCUUUCUUACAUCAUUAAACCCAAUCCCUCAAAGAAUUCUUCUCUCCUUCUAUCCUCCCUCACACCCACAACUGCAAAAGAUGCCAUAGGCAUUAAAGUCUAAGUGUGCCCCAUCAGUCAAGCUCUGACAUGGCACUAAGUGACAAAUUUCCUUGGGUCUUCUCAUCAUUCUGAGGGAAGACAUGGGUUUCUGAUGUGAGCCAGGAUAGCUGGUCCAGUACAAACACCAGACUGUCAGCAAACUGAAGUUUACUGAGCACCUUCCCUCUCUCGCCAUGGGGUUGUUGUUUUUCUCAGUAUAGGGGAUGCAGAUUUGCUUCUAAUGCUCCCCACCUGAACUCAGGGUAAAGCCACAAAGUGCAGGCCCAGGAGGGAACACAAUUUCCCUUUCGAUUAUACUGUUAGCUUGCCUACCAUUUAGUUGUGUGCAGACCUAUUCCAAUCGUCUUUCAUUCCUAUAUUUCUGUGAACCAGCCUGGUAUUCAAAGGUCCAGACAAGUUACCUACUAAGUGGCUACUAAAUUAUCAUCUCAUGAUAACAUCAGACACACUCUAUUCUUUACAAAGCAGAUGCUUGUGUGUUAUCUCAUAGGUCACUUUUACUUCUGAUAAGAUCCACUGCAGUAUCAGAGCCAUGAACAUCAUACAUUUUACAGAUUCCUAAGACACCAGGGCCAGGGGGUGAACGGCUUGCCAAAGCCCUUCAAAUGUCACUAGCCCAUGUCACCAGCCCAUGACAAAUGACCUAGGCUUCCCAGCGCUUGGAUCCAGACAUCUGCUGCACACACAGAGUGAGAAACCACACACAAGUCUUCUUCCAAAGAAACUUCUCACUGAAAACAACAGGUGAGCCUCCGGUAAGCACUUCUGGGAAUUCAGUGGAUAAUCAGGGCAGUCUGUUUCUCUCACUAGGAUACAUGUUGGGGUCAGGAAAAUAGAGAAGCCAUUCAAUGUGAGAUGGCAUCAUACAGCUCACCAACAACCAUUUCUAUUUUAAACUUGGGAAAAACAUCCUGGCAAAGCACCAUAAGUCCUACUGGCAGACAAGGUAAUUUAUUCCUUGAUAUAUCAACAUUACUCUUUUGUUAUGGACAUUGUUAUUUUUAUUAUGGGAAAUGGGUAAGUUAUUAAAAGCCACUUGUCCAUUUCUCAUUUAUUCAGACUGUUUCCCCAGGAUCUGGACCAGUCAGGGCUGACUCAUCAUCCAGCACAGGAGGUCCAGGGCUUAGGGUCACAGUAUUUGUUAACUCAGAAGACUAAAAAAGAUUAUUAGUUUGGAGAAAGUAUUUUAAUGUAUCAUAUGAAUGUUUCUCUUUAUACCACUGAAGUCAUAAAUACAAUUUUGGCUAUUUUUAUUUUUAUUGCAAGUCAUAUUGCAUCCAGCAUCUCCCUGGUCUCUGGUGCUUUCCUAGGAUAACCAGGGGGCUCCCCGAAUGAAGCAUUUUUGUUUGCCCAGCAGUGACAGGAGUGGCGCGCCCCUCCUCACCCCAGAACUUAGGAGGCCCAGUUUCCUGGUCAGUGGCAUUCCUGCCCUCAGCAUCGCUGUGGGAACAGUAACCAGCAGCAUUUCACUGUGUGUCUCAUGGACCACCCGGGAGGUCCUGUCCUGUUCCUACCACUCAGCACAGGUGGGUGGGUUAGAGGUGGGAGGGGAGAAGGAAUGAGAAAGAGGGGCUUGAAUGGCUGUUUGGGCAGGAAAAUCCUGCUGUAAGAGGACGAUGACUUCCAAGUUUCUAUGCAGCUGUCUACAGAGACCUUUGAAGUCAGAACUGAGAGUGUCCAUGGCACCAGUCUCACAAAAUUAUGCAGCAGGUGAAGGCCGGAACUCGAGUUUUACCUUCACUGCUAUCAUUCCAGGGGCACAAAACUCAGGCAAUUACACAUCUGAUCAUCCCAAAGAAAGAGUGACUGACAGAAUGUGGUUGCGGAACAGAAGCACCAAUCCUUCAAGCCCCUGAAGUUCCACCCUGGCUGCCAGGAGAGAGGCCCCAAUUCCCUGACUUUGAUUUCCCACCUGCACACGGGUGUCAAAAUUCCCACCCACAGAGCUGCUUCACAAAGCAAGGCCCAAGUCCCGAAGCUACGAAUUGCACAACAUUUAUCCAGAAAUCCCCCACAUUUUCCAAAACACCCAGAAAAUUGGUGGAACAAGUCAUGCCAAUGGGAGGAAAGUGGUUUGCACCGUAGAGAACUCCAGGGAGGAAAUAGGCAACUGCACACCAGGGCUUUAUUUUUUUAUCUUGGCAAAGCCACAGACGAUUCCUAGGAAUCAGGCAAUCCUGUGGGGGCUCCGUUUGCUAGAGACAGAUCCGCCCCAGCAUCACCCCCAUUGGCAGAAACCAACCCAGCCAGAGUCCGCAGGCCUUGAGAGGAUGUCUCUUCUGAGACCCCCACCAUUCAACGUGCUCCCAAGCCACCCUCCCGUUAUGGACAGCUCUGUGCAAACUCCUGUCAGAGGCAGCCUCAUCAAAGUACUAAAGGCGAGGUGGAACCACAGCUUCACCCCGAGCUUCACAUGUCCACAUAUCCCAGGAGCUUGUGCGUGUGUGUGUGUGUGCAUGUGCACACAUGUACGUGUGCACACAUGUAUAUGUGUGCAUGUACAUGUGUGUGCCUGUGUGUGUCUGUAUUCAACUAAUUUCCACAACAACGGUAAGAGGUCAGUGUUGUGGCUGUGCUAGACCACACGUGCACCAUCGUACCGUGGACAGCGUCCUGAUGGGACCUGAACCCAGACCCCUGCCUCUGACCCAUGCCCCUUGCCCUGCAGUGUGGCUGCCAUGUCUCUCACCAGCAAAUGCCAGGGCUGGCUCAACUACCAAGGCCUCUUCCUGCAUAAAAGGAUUAAAACUAUAUUUUAUGAUUUCAUUGUUCUUAAUAUAUAUUAUUAAAUAUAUUUCUAUUAUAGGUGUCAAUAUGUUCUUCAACUUAAAACUUUUUUUUGAACUUCUGCACCUGGAAAUAAGUAUGUUAAAGAAAGCAAAUCAUCAAUUUAAAAAAAAAAAAAAGAAUGAAAAAACCUUAUAUAACAGAGCCUGAAACUAAACCACCAUCCAGAUUAGAAAAAACAAAAGUUCCAGAAAUGAUGCUGCCCAGGCCCUUGCAUACAUCUGGCCCAGCCAGCACCCCCGAGGCCUGAGCCGUGAGCACCUGCGUGCUGGGACCACCAUCCCCACCGAGCCGCUGGUGUCUGCCUCCUCUGCAGCCUGUCUGCACUGCGAUGGCCUCUCACCCAGAUGCUGAGCUGCUCCCCUCAGGGACAAGGGGAUCUUGCUUCACGCCUGUCUGACCAAGUUCCACGGGGUCAUGAUUGAUGAGGCCUAGGGUGAGUCCGCCCACCGUCGGCAACGCUGGCCUGAAGCAGGCCGUGCAGGCCUGUCCUGAGACCCACCAUCCCUGGCUGGGGCACCAGUGUCUAUCACACACGCUUCAAAUUCAGCCACCUGAUUUUCUCUGUUCGAGGCUAAUGAGCUAAACAGGCCUGGAGCAUUGUUUUGUACUGUUGAUCACAUCGUGAACCACACGUUCCUGGGCUGGCACAGGCUUCUGCAGCCUCCUGUGCAGGAUUUGGCAGACACCAACGAGGGAAUUUCGAAUCAGCGCCUCUGCUCACUGAGGGUCUCUCUCGCAACAGUCACACCUUCCCACUUGCUCCUCGCUGAGACCCCACGGUGGGAAAGCCAGUGAUCUCCACUCCCGGCCUCCUCCUUUUGGCCUGGAUUCUGCCUUUGAAAUAUUUCCAGCAGUCAAACCUCCACUUUGAUGACUGGCUCCCUGGACGACCAGUUUCUAGAAACUCGAGGCCACCCCUCCCACAACACCCAAAAGGCACAGUCCCACUUAGCUUUCUGACCUCUCUCCUUUUAGAAGCUGCUUUGUCUCAUCCCCUGGUCUCCAUCAGACCCUUCCUCACCCCCUCCCAUCCCUCCCCUUUCUCCCCUCUUAUGACUGUCUUGAGACCCUGUAAGUCCCUGCCACUCUCCCCGCAUCCCUCUGGGACUGGAUGGAGAGCCGAGGACCUGUCAUCUGCAUGAGAGAAGCUCCUGGGCCACCGGACCUGAUGGAAUCAUCCAUCGCUGGGGCUGCCCUGCUCCUGCUCAGGCCUCUCUCAGUGGCAUUCUGCGGGGAGGGAGGUAGCACGUCGGGCAGCCUGGUGCUGGCUCUCCUCCUGUGCUGUGCCAGGAGAUUGCUGCUCAAUUUCAGCCCUGUGGAUGUAAUGGCAGUGCCCUUCUCUAAGCUUCAUUCCUGAAGUCACGGGUAGAUUUGUAGACCCUGCACUGCGGAACCACUCUUCAUUCUCAUGACACAUAUGUGAAAUUACCUCAGUUUUGCCAGCAGCUCCCUGCACAUAGUAGGUGCCCAGCACGCAGCUGCAGAAUGAGGGGUGCACCAUCCUUUGGUGCGCACACAAAGACAACACAAUGCUCAUCAUUUGUCACCAGUUUUGAAAAGGACCUCAUGACCCCAGCACUGCAGCCACCUGACUCAUAGCUUUGCUUUGAAAUGUCCUUUCCAAGUACUUUCUGAAGUACUCCCAUUCUUCAAGAAGACUUGAGACUAUUUAAUACUACAGUGACCCUUAAACAAUGCAAGACACAGGGGCACCGACCCCAUGUAGAGUGGAAAGGAAAUCCAUGUAUAACUUUUGACUUCCCCAAACCUUUACUCAUAGCCUACUGUUCACCAGAAGCCUUGCAGAUAACAGAAACAGUCAAUUAACACAUAUUUUGCAUGCUAUACAAAUAUAUAUACUAUGUAUUAUAGAUGUAUUCUUACAAUAAAGCUAAAAAAAUA